rnacentral:rRNA from 1 species
GAUGAACGCUAGCGGCAGGCUUAACACAUGCGAGUCGAGGGGCAGCAUAAAUAGUAGCAAUACUAUUGGUGGCGACCGGCGGACGGGUGCGUAACGCGUAUACAACCUUCCCUAAACAGGGGGAUAAUCUGGAGAAAUUCGGUCUAAUACCCCAUAACAUCAGAGCAGGCAUCUGUUUUGGUUAAAAUUUCCGGAGGUUUAGGAUGGGUAUGCGUAGCAUUAGCUAGUUGGUGAGGUAACGGCUCACCAAGGCGACGAUGCUUAGGGGGACUGAGAGGUUAACACCCCACACUGGUACUGAGACACGGACCAGACUCCUACGGGAGGCAGCAGUGAGGAAUAUUGGUCAAUGGGCGGAAGCCUGAACCAGCCAUGCCGCGUGCAGGACGACGGCUCUAUGAGUUGUAAACUGCUUUUGUACGAGGGUAAAGUGGGCUACGUGUAGCCUUUUGAAAGUAUCGUACGAAUAAGGAUCGGCUAACUCCGUGCCAGCAGCCGCGGUAA